UACGGGGGGGGCAAGCGUUGUUCGGAAUUACUGGGCGUAAAGGGCGCGUAGGCGGCUUCGGAAGUCAUGGGUGAAAGUCCCCGGCUCAACCGGGGAAGGGCCUGUGAAACCACGGAGCUGGAGUGCUGGAGAGGGAAGCGGAAUUCCCAGUGUAGCGGUGAAAUGCGUAGAUAUUGGGAGGAACAUCGGUGGCGAAGGCGGCUUCCUGGACAGACACUGACGCUGAGGCGCGAAAGCCGGGGGAGCGAACGGG
rnacentral:rRNA from 1 species